UACGUAGGGUGCAAGCGUUGUCCGGAAUUAUUGGGCGUAAAGAGCUUGUAGGCGGUUUGUCGCGUCUGCUGUGAAAUUUCGGGGCUCAACCCCGAACUUGCAGUGGGUACGGGCAGACUAGAGUGUGGUAGGGGAGACUGGAAUUCCUGGUGUAGCGGUGAAAUGCGCAGAUAUCAGGAGGAACACCGAUGGCGAAGGCAGGUCUCUGGGCCACUACUGACGCUGAGACGCGAAAGCGUGGGGAGCGAACCGG
rnacentral:rRNA from 1 species